GGGAUCUUCGGACCUUGCGCUAAUAGAUGAGCCUAAGUCGGAUUAGCUAGUUGGUGGGGUAAAGGCCUACCAAGGCGACGAUCUGUAGCGGGUCUGAGAGGAUGAUCCGCCACACUGGGACUGAGACACGGCCCAGACUCCUACGGGAGGCAGCAGUGGGGAAUAUUGGACAAUGGGCGGAAGCCUGAUCCAGCCAUGCCGCGUGUGUGAAGAAGGCCUUUUGGUUGUAAAGCACUUUAAGCGAGGAGGAGGCUACUAGUACUAAUACUACUGGAUAGUGGACGUUACUCGCAGAAUAAGCACCGGCUAACUCUGUGCCAGCAGCCGCGGUAAUACAGAGGGUGCGAGCGUUAAUCGGAUUUACUGGGCGUAAAGCGUGCGUAGGCGGCUGAUUAAGUCGGAUGUGAAAUCCCUGAGCUUAACUUAGGAAUUGCAUUCGAUACUGGUCAGCUAGAGUAUGGGAGAGGAUGGUAGAAUUCCAGGUGUAGCGGUGAAAUGCGUAGAGAUCUGGAGGAAUACCGAUGGCGAAGGCAGCCAUCUGGCCCAAUACUGACGCUGAGGUACGAAAGCAUGGGGAGCAAACAGGAUUAGAUACCCUGGUAGUCCAUGCCGUAAACGAUGUCUACUAGCCGUUGGGGCCUUUGAGGCUUUAGUGGCGCAGCUAACGCGAUAAGUAGACCGCCUGGGGAGUACGGUCGCAAGACUAAAACUCAAAUGAAUUGACGGGGGCCCGCACAAGCGGUGGAGCAUGUGGUUUAAUUCGAUGCAACGCGAAGAACCUUACCUGGUCUUGACAUAGUAAGAACUUUCCAGAGAUGGAUUGGUGCCUUCGGGAACUUACAUACAGGUGCUGCAUGGCUGUCGUCAGCUCGUGUCGUGAGAUGUUGGGUUAAGUCCCGCAACGAGCGCAACCCUUUUCCUUAUUUGCCAGCACUUCGGGUGGGAACUUUAAGGAUACUGCCAGUGACAAACUGGAGGAAGGCGGGGACGACGUCAAGUCAUCAUGG
rnacentral:rRNA from 1 species